rnacentral:rRNA from 1 species
AGCAGCCGCGGUAAUUCCAGCUCCAAUAGCGUAUAUUAAAGUUGUUGCAGUUAAAAAGCUCGUAGUUGAAUUUCGGGAUCAAUACGUCGGUCGUGCUUAGGUACGUACUGGCGUAAUUGAUUUCUCCCUUCUGACGAACCAUGAUGUCAUUAACUUGGUGUCAUGGGAAAUCAGGACUGUCACUUUGAAAAAUUAGAGUGUUUAAAGCAAGCUAACGCUUGAAUACAUUAGCAUGGAAUAAUGAAAUAGGACGUUCGAUCCUAUUUUGUUGGUUUCUAGGAUUGACGUAAUGAUUAAUAGGGAUAGUUGGGGGCAUUAGUAUUCAAUUGUCAGAGGUGAAAUUCUUGGAUUUAUUGAAGACUAACUACUGCGAAAGCAUUUGCCAAGGAUGUUUUCAUUAAUCAAGAACGAAAGUUAGGGGAUCGAAGACGAUCAGAUACCGUCGUAGUCUUAACCAUAAACUAUGCCGACUAGGG